rnacentral:hammerhead_ribozyme from 1 species
ACUCGGCUGAUGAGUCCUAACUAGGACGAAAUGUGUGUCCUGAAU